CUUCUCCUCCUCCUCUUCUUCUUCUCUCUGUGAUGCUUCUCCUCCUCCUCUUCUUCUCUCUGUGAUGCUUCUCCUCCUCCUCUUCUUCUCUCUGUAGUCUCCAACUAGCUGUGUUCUGUGUGUCCAUCAGCAGGCAGGGAAGACUAUCUUCCUUCCUCCUUCAUGGAAACACUGACAGCAACUCAGUGCUUUUAAAACCAACCUUUUUUUGUUGUUGCUGGAGACAUCACAUGACGCGGUGUAACUUUCUAAUGAAUGUUUUAACCAUUUUCAUGCUGGAAGAAUUAUAUAUUUAUGCAGUUGUACAUUUAUUUUUAUUUUUUUUGCAGGAAAGGUUUAAAUGUAUGAAUCCGAUACCAAAGUCACUGGUCCAAAAGUUAGAAUAUCAGAAGCAAUGCAACCCUGUGUAAUAGGAGGUUUUGUUGGUGUAAAAGUUAGAAUAUCAGAAGCAAUGCAACCCUGUGUAAUAGGAGGUUUUGUUGGUGUAAAAGUUAGAAUAUCAGAAGCAAUGCAACCCUGUGUAAUAGGAGGUUUUGUUGGUGUAAAAGUUAGAAUAUCAGAAGCAAUGCAACCCUGUGUAAUAGGAGGUUUUGUUGGUGUAAAAGUUAGAAUAUCAGAAGCAAUGCAACCCUGUGUAAUAGGAGGUUUUGUUGGUGUAAAAGUUAGAAUAUCAGAAGCAAUGCAACCCUGUGUAAUAGGAGGUUUUGUUGGUGUAAAAGUUAGAAUAUCAGAAGCAAUGCAACCCUGUGUAAUAGGAGGUUUUGUUGGUGUAAAAGUUAGAAUAUCAGAAGCAAUGCAACCCUGUGUAAUAGGAGGUUUUGUCAGUAGUCCAUCUGCUCUUGUCAUUUAAUUGAAUCUGGGUAUAUGACCUUAAAGAAAAAUAAAUUGAGAAAUGUGUCCUGCA